ensembl:snRNA U6 U6 spliceosomal RNA
GCUUCUUUCUUUGGCAACAUUAAUAAAACUGGAAUGAUGCAGAGAUGAUUAGCAUAACUCUUGCAUAAGGAUGACAUGCUAAUUUGCAAAAAAUUCUAUGUUCUU